CCUACGGGGGGCAGCAGUAGGGAAUUUUCGGCAAUGGGGGGAACCCUGACCGAGCAACGCCGCGUGAACGAAGAAGUUCUUCGUAAUGUAAAGUUCUUUUAACAGGGAAGAAAGAGAAAUUUGACGGUACCUGACGAAUAAGCUCCGGCUAACUACGUGCCAGCAGCCGCGGUAAUACGUAGGGAGCGAGCGUUAUCCGGAAUUAUUGGGCGAAAAGGGUGCGUAGAUGGCAUAGAAAGUCUUUUGUAAAAAUGCUGGGCUCAACCCAGUAGGGCAAAAGAUACUGCAAAGCUAGAGUAUGACAGAGGCAAGUGGAACUACAGGUGUAGCGGUAAAAUGCGUAAAUAUAUGUAAGAACACCAGUGGCGAAGGCGGCUUGCUGGGUCGAUACUGACAUUGAGGCACGAAAGCGUGGGGAGCAAACAGGAUUAGAUACCCCUGUAGUA
rnacentral:rRNA from 1 species